rnacentral:rRNA from 1 species
CCUACGGGAGGCAGCAGUGAGGAAUAUUGGACAAUGGGCGCAAGCCUGAUCCAGCCAUGCCGCGUGCAGGAAGAAGCAUCUAUGGUGUGUAAACUGCUUUUGUACAGGAAGAAACACUCCCUCGUGAGGGAGCUUGACGGUACUGUAAGAAUAAGGACCGGCUAACUCCGUGCCAGCAGCCGCGGUAAUACGGAGGGUCCGAGCGUUAUCCGGAAUCAUUGGGUUUAAAGGGUCCGUAGGCGGUUUAAUAAGUCAGUGGUGAAAUCUGGUCGCUCAACGAUCAAACGGCCAUUGAUACUGUUAGACUUGAAUUAUAAGGAAGUAACUAGAAUAUGUAGUGUAGCGGUGAAAUGCUUAGAUAUUACAUGGAAUACCAAUUGCGAAGGCAGGUUACUACUUAUGGAUUGACGCUGAUGGACGAAAGCGUGGGGAGCGAACAGGAUUAGAUACCCUGGUAGUCCACGCCGUAAACGAUGGAUACUAGCUGUUCGGAGCAAUCUGNGUGNGUAGAGAAGUAGAUAAGUAUACCACCGUACGGGAGGUACGGUUACGUCGAAGAAGUAGUAAACGUUAAAGUUAAGUAAGUUAGUACGGACGUAGAGACGUAGACCGAACGGACGACGACGAGGGAGGAGGGAG